AGACAGCAAAUAAUAGUCGUCAAAAUCGCGAUCCGACUCGUCUGGCGGAAAAUCGCCACGCGAGCGAAAUGUGCAACCCUCUCUCUCUCUCUCGCUCUCUAACCAUCUUUGCUGGCCUGUCGUCCAUCUUUCUGGCUUUUGAGCUUUUUGGAGAGAGACUCUAACCUCCCCCGCUGAGCUCCGAUCCCUUUUAACAUUUUACCCUUCGCCGCUCCCUCUGCAACUCUGGAACCUUGCCUUCCUCUCUUCCUCAUUCCCUUCUUAUUUCCAGAGUUGCCGAGGGACAUGUUAUAACAGUGAAAAGGACAAAGAAAGAUAGAGAGAUCUGAUUGUGGUUUAAAGAGAUGUACGAAACUCCGUUGCCUGCUCAGCUUUCUGAUUCCAACCGCCGCAUCAUCGACACCAGUGCCACUACCCUUCGAGUCUAUCAAGUUUGGAAAGGAAGCAAUAGAUUUUGCCUUGGAGGUAGACUUGUAUUUGGUCCAGAUGUAAGGUCAAUCUUCCUUACAAUAUCUCUAAUUGUGAUCCCUGUCAUUUUGUUUUGCGCUUUUGUUUCUCAAAGACUCAUUCACGAAUUGGACCACCAUCUUGGCAACCUCAUUGUAUCUAUUCUCAUUAUCUUCACUGUAUAUGAUCUUAUACUUCUGCUCCUCACAUCUGGAAGAGAUCCUGGCAUUAUUCCUCGAAACCUGCAUCCCCCAGAACUGGAGGAAGAUGGUUCCACUAUGUCUACGGAUUGGCUAGGGAGUCAGAGUGGUGUUGGUGUUCCAAGUUUACCUCCUACAAAAGAUGUUGUGGUUAAUGGGGUGAUUGUCAAGGUUAAAUACUGUCAAACGUGUAUGUUGUAUCGCCCACCCCGCUGCUCACAUUGCUCUAUAUGCAAUAACUGUGUGGAGCGCUUCGAUCACCAUUGUCCAUGGGUGGGGCAAUGUAUCGGGAAGAGAAAUUAUAGAUUCUUCUUCAUGUUCGUGUCUUCCACAACCAUACUAUGCCUAUAUGUUUUUGCCUUAUGCUGGGUAAACAUUAAGAAAAUAAUGGAUGAAUAUCACUCUAAUGUCUGGAGAGCAUUCUUGAAGUCUCCUGUCUCAGGGAUUCUUAUUCUAUAUACAUUUGUGACUGCUUGGUUUGUUGGAGGCCUCACUGUGUUUCAUCUCUAUUUGAUUUUUACCAAUCAGACAACAUAUGAAAAUUUCCGGUAUCGUUAUGAUUCAAAAAUGAAUCCUUAUAACCGUGGCUGUGUCCGCAAUAUUUUUGAGAUUUUCUUCUCCAAAAUUCCCAAGUCCAAAAAUAACUUCAGGGCGAAGGUCAAGUUGGAUUCAUCUGCUCUCUUUGCUGCCUCAAUAUCCUUGGCACGAACCAUGAGCCCAGAGAUGCCAAAAACAAGCUUUGACAUUGAGAUGGGAAAGCGGCAAGCGGUUGCUGCUGAAGAUUUUGAAGAAAUACAGAGCCAAAUUGAUAGUGUUGGUGGAUUGGAGAGGUGUGGAACGCAACCAAGGCACACAAACCAGGGUGACAAAGCCAACUGGGAGAUGUCACCUGAUAUUCGAAUGUUGGCUGCUGAGUUUGGAAUGGAACCCAGUUUCAAUGAUAGACAGAAAGUUCGUAGAGGCCAUUGAAGCCGGUUUCACCUAAACUAUAGUCAGAAAAGCAUGUCAAUGAUCUUAGAGCCUACUUGAAAAUUGCCAACCCUGCUGAUUAAAAUUGGCAACUGAACAGGUCUGCUAAGACAUUAAUCCAUCAGAAGGUUGUUUUUAGGCUUUAUUUGUCUCUGCAAGGAAGGAAUGUUCUGGUCUGGCUAACGUAUGCAGGGGUUCAUGUUGUAUAUCAUACUGCUUUGAGAGAUGCUUGGGGUCCAUUCGUUUCCUGUUGGUUGUUUAUCUUUGACAAGUACUUUGCAAAGGAUGGUGGUUUUUGCUAUUGAUACUGUUGGCCUGUGUAAUUGUCACCUUUUUCAUCAGAAAUUCUUGUUUACAGUGAGGAAUUUGGAGGUGCUGUCGAUCAGGACGCAAAUAGGAAUAAGUUGUUCAAACAAGAUAGUGAAUUCCAACAUCUUUUUUAAUGAUAAAGUUGUAAAUCAUGUGAUUAUGGAGGUAUUGCACUGAAAAUGAUCAUCGGUUAUAAAGAAAUUAGCAGCAACAAUACAAAUUACAUCAUUUCACUCGACUGCUAAA